GUCCUUACAGCUCAAUGGUAGAGCUCCGGUCUGGCAAGCCAAAGGCCAGUGGUUCGAUCUCUGUCUGGGACA